GGGGUAGAUGUGAAUGCUGCAGAUCAUACUGGACAAACAACAUUACACUGGAGUGCGGUGCGGGGAGCUGUUCAGGUUGCAGAGAUCUUGCUCCAAGAGGGUGCCAGUGUUGGUGCUGCUGACAUAUAUGGAUAUCAGCUCAUGUGCUUGGCAGAUUUGGAGCUUGAUUCUAUAAAUCUGUAUGAUUUAGCAACGAGAAUUAACAAGGUUGUUAUGCUGGAGUUUCUAUCUCAUGGAAGUAUAUGUGUACUCAGUCUCUUAUCUAGACAUUGGUUCAGGCUCGAUCCUUGCAACACUGUAAGUUCAGGCUUGAUCCUGGUCAACAUUUUUAUGUUUGCAAAGUAUAUAUUGUAUUGUUCUCAAAAUGAAUGUUCUAAACUUUCAAAGUUUCUCAUCGGGUCAUUGACUGUGUUAAAUGGUGCAGAGAGGUCACCAGAACUCCCUGGAGUGGAUGCCUUUGUUCUUGACAUUCAUGACGUUGGGAGUUAUUAAGCACCCUGACAUCUCCUCAGUUCUUGGUGUUGUUUAUAUUUUUAGUCGUUAUUUUUAUUUCAAAGGAUAUUCCACUGGCGAUCCUAAGAAGCGUCUAUCUGUCGGAUUGCAGCGUGAACCUCAUUUUACAGGAUUUAAUUAGCAGAACUUACAUAGUGAAGCCACAAUUUUUGCAGCCAGACAUUUGACACUUUUUUGGGGGCGGACUGAUGGUUGCUGGAAAUAAGAAACGGUAAUGGGAACGAACUCUUUUCAGUGGACAGUUGUUAUGAAUUGUUUUGAAUCA